rnacentral:rRNA from 1 species
GUGCAGCAGCCGCGGUAAUACGGAGGGGGCAAGCGUUGUUCGGAAUUACUGGGCGUAAAGCGCACGUAGGCGGAUUGGAAAGUUGGGGGUGAAAUCCCGGGGCUCAACCCCGGAACUGCCCUUGAUACUGGUAGUCUUGAGUUCGAGAGAGGUGAGUGGAAUUCCGAGUGUAGAGGUGAAAUUCGUAGAUAUUCGGAGGAACACCAGUGGCGAAGGCGGCUCACUGGCUCGAUACUGACGCUGAGGUGCGAAAGCGUGGGACGCAAACAGGAUUAGAUA